GAUGGCUCAGUGGUAGAGUGCUUGCCUUGCAUACAAAAGGCCCUGGGUUCAAUUCCUCAGCAUCA
rnacentral:tRNA from 1 species